rnacentral:rRNA from 1 species
UACGGAGGAUCCGAGCGUUAUCCAGAUUUAUUGGGUUUAAAGGGUGCGUAGGUGGAUUGGUAAGUCAGUGGUGAAAGUUUGCAGCUUAACUGUAAAAUUGCCGUUGAAACUGCCGGUCUUGAGUGCAAAUGAGGUAGGCGGAAUGCGUCGUGUAGCGGUGAAAUGCUUAGAUAUGACGCAGAACUCCGAUUGCGAAGGCAGCUUACUGGGAUGCAACUGACGCUGAGGCACGAAAGCGUGGGUAUCAAACAGGAUUA